rnacentral:lncRNA from 1 species
CAUCUCUCCUUUUGAAUCCUCCUUUUCUUUUGCCAUAACACCUCAUCAAAAUACAUGAAAUCCCUUCGGUUUCUAGGGUGCCGAAAACCUUCCUGAUGGCCUAUGGUCUCAUCCUUAAAACCACCAUCACCAAUAUCAUCAACGUCCUCAAAAUCCACAUAAUCAGCCCACCUUGGCCUUUUAGCCCACAACCAUUGUUUGAUUUCGGUUCAGCCCCAACCUUUCUCACGUCUUGGGUACAUGUUCAAGCCACGUUACCAAGUUUUCUCACCUUC